rnacentral:tRNA from 1 species
GCCGGAGUAGCUCAGUGGUAGAGCAUUCGCCUGAAGAGCGACGGGUCGUCAGUUCGAUUCUGACCUCCGGCACCA